UAGAACGCUAGCGGCAGGCCUAACACAUGCAAGUCGCGGGGCAGCACGGGUAGCAAUACCUGGUGGCGACCGGCGCACGGGUGCGUAACGCGUAUGCAACCUCGCCCCCAUCGAGGGGAAUAGCCCGACCGAAAGGCGGAUUAAUGCCCCAUAGGCCCAGGGCGCCGCAUGGCGCUAUGGGUAAAGCUCCGGCGGAUGGGGAUGGGCAUGCGUGCCAUUAGCUAGUUGGGGCGGUAACGGCGCACCAAGGCGACGAUGGCUAGGGGGUCUGAGAGGAUGGUCCCCCACACUGGUACUGAGACACGGACCAGACUCCUACGGGAGGCAGCAGUCGAGAAUAGUCUACAAUGGCCGAAAGGCUGAUAGUGCGACGCCGCGUGAACGAAGAAGCCCUUCGGGGUGUAAAGUUCUUUUAUAUGUGAGCAGUGCUUUUCAUGUUAACAGCAUGGGGAGAGAGAUAUUAGCAUAUGAAUAAGCAACGGCUAACUCCGUG
rnacentral:rRNA from 1 species